rnacentral:lncRNA from 1 species
AACCUUGGAGAGCACCUCCCUUUCAUAUGACUUCUGCAAAGGGCAUGUUUCAGCUCACAGGGACAAAGAGUCACUGCACCAGAGAACCAGAAAGAGUGAAGAAAUGUUUGUCCCCGGUGCUGAGAACACCACAGAUGAUCUUUCUGCCCAGAGCCACCAUCUUGUCUCUAAAUAUCAGGGUUAUCAAUGCCUGGCCAUCUCUUUUCAAUUUGGGACAACUGCCAGCGACCACUAGCUAGCUCCAGAAUUCCUCAGAUGUUUCAGGAAACUGCCACAACCUUGUAGAGCACAGUUUGAAAGCUACUGCUGAAGAAAUAUGCCAUCUUGAAGGCUUUUUAAACACGGGAUUUGCAAGAUAGGGUUCGCAUUUUAGAAACAUUAUUCUGCUUGCUACACUACUGAGUUUGGAUGAGGGAGACUUGAAGGCAAGGAGCUCUGUUAUGAAAUAACUACGCUUUUCUUACAGAAGAAGACUAUAAUAGACUGUAUCAAAAAUGUCUACGUUCCAUAGCAUUGG